rnacentral:rRNA from 1 species
CCUACGGUGCGCUGCAGUGGGGAAUAUUGCGCAAUGGGCGAAAGCCUGACGCAGCGACGCCGCGUGAGGGAUGAAGGUCUUCGGAUCGUAAACCUCUGUCAGCAGGGAAAAACGGUCACUGUGCUAAUCAGCAGUGAAUUGACGGUACCUGCAAAGGAAGCACCGGCUAACUCCGUGCCAGCAGCCGCGGUAAUACGGAGGGUGCGAGCGUUAAUCGGAAUUACUGGGCGUAAAGCGCUCGUAGGCGGUAUGUCAAGUCAAGGGUGAAAUCCCCGCGCUCAACGUGGGAACUGCCUUUGAAACUGGCAAACUGGAGUGUGUGAGAGGAUAGUGGAAUUCCAGGUGGAGGAGUGAAAUCCGUAGAUAUCUGGAGGAACAUCAGUGGCGAAGGCGACUAUCUGGCACAUAACUGACGCUGAGGAGCGAAAGCGUGGGUAGCAAACAGGAUUAGAUACCCCUGUAGUU